CGAGAUAGUAGWGUUCAUCAUCAAGAAUGGGAGGCAGUACUUGUGGAACAAGACCGAGCCCAUGGGAGAUUCCCGUUCCUAAUCCCAUCAAACAAAUUCCAUCCAUACUAUUUAAAAGUUCUCCAAAAAAACCCAGGAGGUUGGUUUGGUAAGAGAGAAGGCAUUUGGUACCACAAAAGAUUGGAUGCUUUAUAUUGMGGAUUGUGCAAAUUCAAGGGCUUCGACUGUAUUUAUUCGUGGGGGGUCCUGGUGGAAGGCCGAGCUUUGGUCGUGGAGGUGGCAGUUAUGGAGGAGGCGCACCACCAAGCUCAAGUUUCGCUUAAACAUAUUUCAUAUUCAUACGGUGUUUGCAGUUGAAUUUUAAACUUGAUCUUGAAAUGCUGUGCUUUCUUUCACUUGUUAUAUGAUCUACAAUUUUGUU